rnacentral:RNase_P_RNA from 1 species
GCUGAACGGUGACGUCCAGGGCUAGGUAAACCCCAUCCGGAGCAAGACCAAAUAGGGGAGUCAUGAGGAUGGCCCGUCUGGUACUCCCGGGUAGGUUGCUUGAGGUGCCGGGCAACCGGCAUCCCAGAUGAAUGAUCACCACCUGGCGGCCGCCAGGUACAGAACCCGGCUUACAGGGUGUCUCCAGCC